CAGCCGCCACGGGAAUACGAAGGGUGCAAGCGUUAAUCGGAAUUACUGGGCGUAAAGCGUGCGUAGGCGGUGAGUUAAGUCUGCUGUGAAGUCCCCGGGCUCAACCUGGGAAUGGCAGUGGAUACUGGCUCACUAGAGUGUGGUAGAGGAUAGUGGAAUUUCCGGUGUAGCAGUGAAAUGCGUAGAGAUCGGAAGGAACAUCUGUGGCGAAGGCGACUAUCUGGGCCAACACUGACACUGAGGCACGAAAGUGUGGGGAGCAAACAGGAUUAGAUACCCCUGUAGUCCCUGUCUCUUAUAC
rnacentral:rRNA from 1 species